CAGGAUGAACGCUGGCGGCGUGCUUAACACAUGCAAGUCGAACGGACUUUAAGUGAAGCCUAGCGAUCUUAAAGUUAGUGGCGGACGGGUGAGUAACGCGUGGGUAACCUGCCGUAUGCCGGGGGACAACAGUUGGAAACGACUGCUAAUACCGCAUAAGCGCACAUUUUGGCAUCUGUCAGUGUGAAAAACUCCGGUGGCAUACGAUGGACCCGCGUCUGAUUAGGCAGUUGUGAGGUUUAGAAGCUCACCAAACCGACGAUCAGUAGCCGGCCUGAGAGGGUGAACGGCCACACCCGCGACUGAGACACGGCCCAAACUCCUACGGGAGGCAGCAGUGGGGAAUAUUUGCACAAUGGGGGAAACCCUGAUGCAGCGACGCCGCGUGAGUGAAGAGUAUUUCGGUAUGUAAGCUUUUAUCAGCAGGAAAGAAAUGACGGUACCUGACUAGAGCCCGGCUACUACGUGCAGCAGCCGCGUAUACGUAGGGGCAGCGUAUCUGGAUUACUGGGUGUAGGAGCGUAACGGAUACAAGUCUAUUAUAGCCGGCCCACCCCGCACGCUUGUAAUGCAUCUUCUGUUGCCGGAGGAAGCGAAUCUCAUAGUGCGGAGUGUAUAUAGAAAACCAAGCCUUGUGUGUGUCUGAUGUCCGUGCGAAUCGUGCGCGACAUGAGGAUGCCCCCUCUGACUAGUGACUCAACUCGAAGCACGCUCACGUCUGCUG
rnacentral:rRNA from 1 species